GAUUUGGGGAACGCGGGUUACCGCGAGUCCCAACACCAAGCUGAGCUUGAGGGUUGAAAUGACGCUCGAACAGGCAUGCCCGCCAGAAUACUGGCGGGCGCAAUGUGCGUUCAAAGAUUCGAUGAUUCACUGAAUUCUGCAAUUCACAUUACUUAUCGCAUUUUGCUGCUUCUUCAUCGAUGCGUCCUUGAUAGG
rnacentral:misc_RNA from 1 species